GGGUACAGCUCAGUGGUAGAGUGUAUGCUUAGCAUGCACGAGGUCCUGGGUUCAUUCCCCAGUACCUCCA
rnacentral:tRNA from 1 species